AUGGGGGAAGUGAGAGGGAAAUGGGGGAAUUGGGAAAAAACAGGGAGGAAAUGGGGGGAAAAGUGGGAAAAAUGGGAGGGAAAUGGUGAAAUUUGGAGAAAAUUGGGGAAGAAUGGGGGAAAUUGGGGGGAGGGAGGGGAAAUAGGGGAAAUGGGAAAGAAUGGGGGAAAUUGGGUAAAAAUGGGGGAAUUGGGGAAAAUUGGGAGGAAAUUGAGGGGAAAUGGGGAAAAUUGGGGGGAAAAUGGGGGGUUCUCUCCCCAUUACUGGGUUCCCCAUUUUCAAGGUUCUCUCCCCAUUUUUGGGGUUCUCUCCCCGUUUAUUUUUUUGGGUUCCCUAAUUUUGGGUUCCCCUUUGUCAAGUUUCUCUCUCCAUUUUUGGGUUCCCCAUUUCUGGGGUCCUGCCCCCUUUUUGUGGUUCUCUCCCAAUUUUGGGUUCCCCAUUUUCAGGUUUCUGUCCCCAGUUUUGGGCUCCCCAUUUUCGGGGUCCUGCCCCAAUUUUGGGAUCCUGCCCCAUUUUUGGGUUCCCCAUUUUGGGGUCCUGCCCUGUUUUCAGGUUCCCCGUUUUUGGGAUCCUGCCCUGUUUUUGGGAUCCUGCCCCAUUUUGGGGUCCUGCCCCGUUUUUGGGGUCCUGCCCCAUUUUGGGGUCCUGCCCCAUUUUCGGGGUCCUGCCCCAUUUUUGGGUCCUGCCCCAUUUUUGGGUCCUGCCCUGUUUUCGGGUCCUGCCCCAUUUUUGGGUCCUGCCCCAUUUUUGGGUCCUGCCCUGUUUUCGGGGUCCUGCCCCAUUUUUGGGUCCUGCCCCAUUUUUGGGUCCUGCCCUGUUUUCGGGGUCCUGCCCCAUUUUUGGGUCCUGCCCCAUUUUUGGGUCCUGCCCUGUUUGGGGAUCCUGCCCCAUUUUUGGGUCCUGCCCCAUUUUUGGGUCCUGCCCUGUUUUCGGGGUCCUGCCCCAUUUUUGGGUCCUGCCCCAUUUUUGGGUCCUGCCCUGUUUUCGGGGUCCUGCCCCAUUUUUGGGUCCUGCCCCAUUUUUGGGUCCUGCCCUGUUUUCGGGGUCCUGCCCCAUUUUUGGGUCCUGCCCCAUUUUUGGGUCCUGCCCUGUUUUCGGGUCCUGCCCCAUUUUUGGGUCCUGCCCCAUUUUUGGGUCCUGCCCUGUUUUCGGGGUCCUGCCCCAUUUUUGGGUCCUGCCCCAUUUUUGGGUCCUGCCCUGUUUCGGGGUCCUGCCCGUUCCGGGGUCCCUGACUGA
rnacentral:lncRNA from 1 species